GCCUACUGAAGUUGUGGAAGAGGUCAUGGUUCUCUAUGAGUCUAUUUAUACUGACUGAUUAUAUAUCAAGGAUUUAAUCCGAUUGAAGACUUUAAAUCUAGUGCUUUUUGAAAGGCAACCUAAAUUUUUUAAUUUUUUUCUAACCUUUACUUUAGUAAUUUUUAUUUUUUGUAAGAAUAAUGGAUCACUUUGCAUGAAAGCAGC
rnacentral:lncRNA from 1 species